UACGUAGGGGGCAAGCGUUAUCCGGACUUACUGGGUGUAAAGGGAGCGUAGACGGCCAGACAAGUCUGAAGUGAAAAUCCAGCGCUUAACGUUGGAAGUGCUUUGGAAACUGCCGGGCUAGAGUGCAGGAGGGGCAGGCGGAAUUCCUAGUGUAGCGGUGAAAUGCGUAGAUAUUAGGAGGAACACCAGUGGCGAAGGCGGCCUGCUGGACUGCAACUGACGUUGAGGCUCGAAGGCGUGGGGAGCAAACAGG
rnacentral:rRNA from 1 species